AUCCCACCACUUUUGUCAGUUCUGCUAUGGGAAUAUGUUUUAAAUGGAAGAAGGGUAAAAACUCCGCAGCUGUAAAACCAGGGUUGUGCUCUUAUGGGAAUACUCAGGCUGUGGGACAACUGAAAACAGAGGAAUGUGGGGAACUGCUGAGGGUCCACAGCGGUCUGCCGGGCACGUUCAUGUCCAGGAGAGGCACCACAGCCAUGACCAGCGUUGAAUUCUCUUGACAGCCUGUCUCUUGACGUUUCAAGUUUCAACGCCUGUGAAGUCUAUAUAAAAAGAAAAUAAAUAACAACAGCAGAAGAUUUCAGAGAAACCUCUAAAUUGGAUUAUACUGCGUGAGAGACUGGUUUAUACUGCUAAGAUUAGUCCAUCUGCCUGAGAAAUGCCAGAAACAAUUUACACUGCCUUCAGUGCAGGUAUAUCAACAAAACUGGUCCGAGAAGCUGUCCAGGUGGAAGGGGCAAUAGAUGUAUGCUGAUACGGGACGUAUUGGAGCGGCGGCGCGCUGCGUUUUGCACAUCUCCCCAGGAGCAGGCCAAGCAGGCGGGGGCAAGAUGGCGGGAGGGCCAUGGGCCCUCAGCACCGACUCAGGGGAAGGCAGAUCCGAGCCCCCUCUCUGCCCGCAAACUGGAGCGCUGUUUGAGAAAUCGGCCAGCAGAGUUUGGACGUUUGUCAGGGAAGAAAUAUUCCUAAAAUAUAUAUCCGAUGUAUCGGGUUAGCAGUUCUUCAGCUAGGAGGUCUCAUGCUUUUGUGGAAGAGAUCGUGCUCUGUAUCACCGACUUAUCACCCAUACUUUCUCAGGAAGUUCAGGGUCUGACUGGGCUGUGCUUUUGGCCAGAAGACAGCGUAUGUUCACAUGGAGAAGAGGUGGAUCUGAAUGUCUAUGAUUCUUCAGCAAGAUUUUAGCCUUCUCUAUUGCACUGCAAGCCUUACUGCAGCCCUUACAGAGAGGAGGAGUUCCCUAUGCCUAUGAAAACGUCUCAGCUGCCUCUUCUGUACUGCCAGGGAGAU